rnacentral:rRNA from 1 species
CUGGCUCAGGACGAACGCUGGCGGGCGCGCCUAACACAUGCAAGUUCGAACGAAGCGAGAGAGAGCUUUGCUUUCUCAAGCGAGUGGGCGAACGGGUGAGUAACGCGUGAAGGAACCUGCCUCAAAGAGGGGGACAACAGUUGGAAACGACUGCUAAUACCGCAUAAAGCCCACGGGUCGGCAUCGACCAGAGGGAAAAGGAGCAAUCCGCUUUGAGAUGGCCUCGCGUCCGAUUAGCUAGUUGGUGAGGUAAUGGCCCACCAAGGCAACGAUCGGUAGCCGGACUGAGAGGUUGAACGGCCACAUUGGGACUGAGACACGGCCCAGACUCCUACGGGAGGCAGCAGUGGGGAAUAUUGCACAAUGGGGGAAACCCUGAUGCAGCGACGCCGCGUGGAGGAAGAAGGUCUUCGGAUUGUAAACUCCUGUUGUUGAGGAAGAUAAUGACGGUACUCAACAAGGAAGUGACGGCUAACUACGUGCCAGCAGCCGCGGUAAAACGUAGGUCACAAGCGUUGUCCGGAAUUACUGGGUGUAAAGGGAGCGCAGGCGGGAAGACAAGUUGGAAGUGAAAUCUAUGGGCUCAACCCAUAAACUGCUUUCAAAACUGUUUUUCUUGAGUAGUGCAGAGGUAGGCGGAAUUCCCGGUGUAGCGGUGGAAUGCGUAGAUAUCGGGAGGAACACCAGUGGCGAAGGCGGCCUACUGGGCACCAACUGACGCUGAGGCUCGAAAGUGUGGGUAGCAAACAGGAUUAGAUACCCUGGUAGUCCACACCGUAAACGAUGAUUACUAGGUGUUGGAGGAUUGACCCCUUCAGUGCCGCAGUUAACACAAUAAGUAAUCCACCUGGGGAGUACGACCGCAAGGUUGAAACUCAAAGGAAUUGACGGGGGCCCGCACAAGCAGUGGAGUAUGUGGUUUAAUUCGACGCAACGCGAAGAACCUUACCAAGUCUUGACAUCCCUUGACGAACAUAGAAAUAUGUUUUCUCUUCGGAGCAAGGAGACAGGUGGUGCAUGGUUGUCGUCAGCUCGUGUCGUGAGAUGUUGGGUUAAGUCCCGCAACGAGCGCAACCCCUAUUCUUAGUAGCCAGCGGGUAAGCCGGGCACUCUAGAGAGACUGCCAGGGAUAACUUGGAGGAAGGCGGGGAUGACGUCAAAUCAUCAUGCCCCUUAUGACCAGGGCUACACACGUGCUACAAUGGCGUAAACAAAGAGAAGCAAACCUGCGAGGGCAAGCAAAUCUCAAAAAUAACGUCUCAGUUCGGAUUGUAGUCUGCAACUCGACUACAUGAAGCUGGAAUCGCUAGUAAUCGCAGAUCAGAAUGCUGCGGUGAAUACGUUCCCGGGUCUUGCACUCACCGCCCGUCA